rnacentral:lncRNA from 1 species
UGGGUUAGAGGAAAACGAAGAGAAUUUUGAGGGAGGAUCGGAAAAGUCCAGUGAGAUUUCAGCAAUUAAUGCUACAAUUAGUGAAGCAAAAUCAGUUAUCGUUAUGCCCAGAAACAAAUCUCAGUUCACGAGCCGUAGAAUUACACCUUCAGAUAAAGCAGAUGAUAUGUCAGAAAAGCUGCUUCUAAAUGGGGAUCUGUAUUCUGGAAAAUUUUCAAAUAAUACACCUCAUGGAUUGGGUAAAUACCUAUGGAAAGAUGGGUGUAUGUAUGAAGGGGAAUGGAGGAAGGGGAAGGCCUGUGGCAAAGGGAAGUUUUCAUGGCCAUCAGGCGCAACAUUUGAAGGCGAAUUCAAGUAUGGUCGAAUGGAGGGCAGUGGCACUUACAUAGGUUCUGAUGGGGAUAUGUAUAAGGGCUCCUGGGUCGGUGAUCGUAAGCACGGAUAUGGAGUGAAGCAUUAUGGAAAUGGGGAUUACUACGAGGGCGAAUGGAAAAAGAAUUUGCAAGAUGGGCAGGGGAGGUAUACAUGGAGGAAUGGGAAUGAGUAUGUUGGUGAAUGGAAGAAUGGGAUGAUUCAUGGAAGAGGUGUUUUAGUUUGGAACAAUGGGAAUAGAUAUGAUGGGAAUUGGGAGACUGGGAUUCCAAAGGGAGAUGGGGUUUUUACAUGGCCCGAUGGGAGUUGCUAUAUCGGCUGCUGGCCGAAAGACUCAUGUAGAAACAUCGAUAGUGAUCAAAUCUUGAAUGGUACUUUUUAUCCUGCAAAUAAUUGUAAUAAUGUUAAUGGAAAUGAUGAGAAUGAGGAGGGAUUUAAGAGGUAUUUUGAUGAUAAGUUAUUGGUAGCAAAGGAGGAGAGAAUGGAUGUAAUGAUAGGUGGUGGUAGGAAGAAGAGGUGGUCAGUGGACGAGGGGUUGAUGGAGAGGACUUUCCCAAGAAUAUGCAUUUGGGAGUCAGAGGGUGUGGCUGGGGAUAUAACGUGUGAUAUUAUCGAUAAUGUGGAGGCAUCGUUGUUAUAUAGAAAUCACGAUGGAGUGAGGCAAUUACGGAGGAAUUCUUGUAGUUUUAGUGGGGAAGUGAAGAAGGCAGGACAGACUAUAUCUAAAGAGCAUAAGAAUUAUGCUUUGAUGCUUAUAUCAACUUCCUAUAUAUGUUUUUAUAUAAAAACAAAGUAAUUUUAUAAAAUUAUUUAAAUAUGUUUAAAAUCAAUUUUUUAUUCUUAGAAAUAAUUUAUAUAUAUAUAUAUAUAUAUAUAUAUAUAUAUAUAAAGAGAAGGGAAAAGGGUGCAUUAGGUAAUGGUGCGAUUAUUUUUAGACUGGAUUAUUCAAAUCGAUUCUACCAUUAACUCAUUACCCUGAUUAGGUGUGCAUAAUCCCCCCUCCCCCCAAAUUAUAAAAUGUACAUGCUGUAAUAGUAUGUAUGUGUAAUACAUUUGUAAAUUUAGAGUGUAAAUUGAUUUUAUUUUAUUUUAUUUUAUUUUUUGUUUCACUCAAGCUACUUGACACAUUUAUAAAACAUGACAUGUCGCUCCAUCUAAUUGGUCCACUCAUUUUGACACUCAGAUUAGAGGCACAUCCUCAUUCAUAAGGGCGUUAUUAAAAAAACAAAAACAAAUAAAAAAUGUCGUAUUAUACAUACAAUUACUUACACUUUAUUGUAUUUACACUUGUAUGAAUCGAUUUAUAUAGCUCAUACAUAUUUUGCAAACAUAAUGUCGCUGAGUUAAAUAAAUGAGUGGUUACUGAAAUUUAAAAUAUGAUUAUCACUUACUCACUGAAAACGAGUAGCUUUUGAAUGUAUAUAGUGGAAAGGUAUGGGAGUUGAAACAAGCUUUCUAGUAACAGUCAUUAGGAGUGAUGAGUUUUCAAACGUAUCUAUUCUAACUAUGUUGAAAACAAAUGCUGUUGACAUAUUUGCUGAAUGAUAAGUCCAUUUUACAUACUUAUUUAAGUCACAGACAUGAAUAAUUGUUGGUAAGUAUUUUGGAAUAUGACUUAAUUCUAUAUAAAUUAUGUUUUGUAGGACAGCACUGAUGAAUAUAAUAAAAUUUAGGAAAAAUAAGCCAAAAAGGACUAAGAAAUUAUAGUGUUUUAAAUAGUAUUUUUUUUUUUUUAAAUGUGUAGUUAAAAUUUAGAGAAACUUUAUUAGUUUGUGUAGAAUAUUUUAUUGUAUAAAUAUGUGGCGAAAAAUAUUACUAUAUCAAACAAUAUAAUUUGUUAAAAGGAUGACAAACAGAGGCUAAAAAUGGAAGAAAAUAAAAGUUUAAGGAUCAAAGUGUAAAUAGUCAAAAGAUGAAGAUUAUGCAAAACCAUUUUUAAUUUCACGUUUUUUUAUUUACAAAAUACAAAUUUUUGAUGACAUAGCUAUGAUUUACACAUUUGUAUGUCACAUCAUUUUUUCAUUUGCCACGUGGGUAUAUUUGUGCACCUGUACAAAUGAAAUUGGCUAUGGUGAUGGAGGGAUAAACUAAUCAAUAUUUCAAUGAAUAUUGUGUAGCAAUUUAAAUUUCAAUCAGCAAGUAAUUGUUGAGUUGCCACACGUUUAAUUAACUCAAUGCCGAUUCACUUCUCACAUUUUUCCUCACUUUCUCUUUCACACAGUUAGGCACUCAAUUAUCUGUUUCCUGUUUCUCUCUCUACAAAACCUUCCAUAUUCCAUACGGUAUACAAGGCACAAGCUAUACGUAAUAGAGAAAUGGUGCAGAAACUGGAUUUCCCAGCUGUUCAUAAACAUUACUGGGAAUAGUUGAACAAAUCCUACUUACUUUCUCUUCAAAAACCUCAUUUUCCCUAGAAGAAUGCCACACCAAGAGGAAAACGGUAAGAAAAAUUAUGGGUUAGAGGAAAACGAAGAGAAUUUUGAGGGAGGAUCGGAAAAGUCCAGUGAGAUUUCAGCAAUUAAUGCUACAAUUAGUGAAGCAAAAUCAGUUAUCGUUAUGCCCAGAAACAAAUCUCAGUUCACGAGCCGUAGAAUUACACCUUCAGAUAAAGCAGAUGAUAUGUCAGAAAAGCUGCUUCUAAAUGGGGAUCUGUAUUCUGGAAAAUUUUCAAAUAAUACACCUCAUGGAUUGGGUAAAUACCUAUGGAAAGAUGGGUGUAUGUAUGAAGGGGAAUGGAGGAAGGGGAAGGCCUGUGGCAAAGGGAAGUUUUCAUGGCCAUCAGGCGCAACAUUUGAAGGCGAAUUCAAGUAUGGUCGAAUGGAGGGCAGUGGCACUUACAUAG